UCACUAGACCCCAUGCACAUGCAGAUUUCUCUCAGGGGGUUAAUUAGUAUUAUAUCUGUGUUUGCUUCUCCAGAACAUAUCUCCCUCCACUGCGGUGUGACCGGCGUCUCGUUUCCUACCCCGCAGAUUGGAGCUUGGCUUCGCACGAGGGACCACUACAGACGCCCCCCCCCCACGACUGGAAUGCAACGAUUAAAACGUAUCGGAGAGAGAGAGAGCUCCGAGGCCUCUCUGCUCCAGAACUGGAACCCCACCCCCCCCCCCAUCAUCGGAGAGACGGGUCUCCACCACGCCGGCUUUGAUCCCUCGCUUCCGGAUCCCCCCCUUGCCUCCCCUGGAAGGAUUCUGGGGAAUCGUCAGCUCGCGGCUCAUGGCUCACGGCUCUUGCUCUGUCCCCCCGGCACAGUGAGCUACGCCAGCGGGCUUCCAUUUGUGCCUGUGAUCCACCGCCUUCCACCAGCAGCUCCCAGCAGCUCUCCAGUCAGGAUUCCAGGCUCUCCGGGACUUUCUGAUUCCUGAAACCAGAGCAUCAAAAUCUACUUUGUGUCCGGAUGGGGCUUCUCCUUAAAGCUUGCCGAGGGAAUGCUGGGCCAGUGUCGGCGGUACAGCAGGCAGUUCAUGAACACAAACAGGGCAAGCGACCGAGGCUAGAGAUGUUCGAGACCUUCGGUAAUACACCCCUUCUAACAGGACACCGUCCGCAGUGAGAGGGGGAAGGGAGCCGACAGAGACUCUCACUCUAAUAAACACGCGCCAGGACAGGAGGCAGCGAGGAGGGGUUUCCAGAACCUGGAGCCCUGAGCUCUGCUCUCUGCGGGCGUCUGCCAUCGCUGCCGUUCCGGAGAGGGUGGUCUGAAAUCUGUUCACCGCAGACCGGAACCCCUUCCGGUUUUUCUGACCAACGCUCUUCUGAACAAGGCCAGCUAGCUGCUGUGCAGGUUUACUGUGGUAAACCGUGGUAGAAUCAGAGUAAAACAUGACACAGAAAUGUGUGUGAAGAUACCAUGAAAGCACAAAUCAAACUGGGAACAAGAUGUAUAUCUAUAUACAAACAUGUGAGAGCGAAUGUAUUUAUCCCAACCUGCACCAGAAGAUCAGGGAGAGGAGAGAGAAACUGUACCCCAAACUGUACCUCAACCUGCAUUAGCAGAUCAGGGAGAGGCAAGAGAAACUGUACCCCAGAUUGUACCCCAACCUACACCAGCAUAUCAGAGGGAGGACAGAGAAACUGUACCCCAGACUGUACCCCAACCUACACCAGCAGAUCAGAGGGAGGAGAGAGAAACUGUACCCCAAUCUGCACCAGCAGAUCGGAGGGAGGAGAGAGAAACUGUACCCCAAUCUGCACCAGCAGAUCGGAGGG
rnacentral:lncRNA from 1 species